rnacentral:rRNA from 1 species
AUUGAACGCUGGCGGCAGGCCUAACACAUGCAAGUCGAGCGGCAGCGACAACAUUGACCCUUCGGGUGAUUUGUUGGGCGGCGAGCGGCGGACGGGUGAGUAAUGCCUAGGAAAUUGCCCUGAUGUGGGGGAUAACCAUUGGAAACGAUGGCUAAUACCGCAUAAUCUCUUCGGAGCAAAGAGGGGGACCUUCGGGCCUCUCGCGUCAGGAUAUGCCUAGGUGGGAUUAGCUAGUUGGUGAGGUAAUGGCUCACCAAGGCGACGAUCCCUAGCUGGUCUGAGAGGAUGAUCAGCCACACUGGAACUGAGACACGGUCCAG